rnacentral:rRNA from 1 species
CGGUACGGUAAGUCUGUAGUAAAAGGCGGCAGCUCAACUGUCGUAGGCUAUGGAAACUGUCGAACUAGAGUGCAGAAGAGGGCGAUGGAACUCCAUGUGUAGCGGUAAAAUGCGUAGAUAUAUGGAAGAACACCAGUGGCGAAGGCGGUCGCCUGGUCUGUAACUGACGCUGAAGCACGAAAGCGUGGGGAGCAAAUAGGAUUAGAUACCCUAGUAGUCCACGCCGUAAACGAUGAGAACUAAGUGUUGGGGGAAUAACUCAGUGCUGCAGUUAACGCAAUAAGUUCUCCGCCUGGGGAGUAUGCACGCAAGUGUGAAACUCAAAGGAAUUGACGGGGGCCCGCACAAGCGGUGGAGUAUGUGGUUUAAUUCGAAGCAACGCGAAGAACCUUACCAGGCCUUGACAUCCCCGGCGAAGACAUGGAGACAUGUCGGAGGUUAACCGGGAGACAGGUGGUGCAUGGUUGUCGUCAGCUCGUGUCGUGAGAUGUUGGGUUAAGUCCCGCAACGAGCGCAACCCUUGUGAUAUGUUACUAACAGUAAGAUGAGGACUCAUAUCAGACUGCCGGUGACAAACCGGAGGAAGGUGGGGAUGACGUCAAAUCAUCAUGCCCCUUAUGGCCUGGGCUACACACGUACUACAAUGGCGGCUACAAAGAGCGGCGAACCCGCGAGGGGGAGCGAAUCUCAUAAAGGUCGUCUCAGUUCGGAUUGAAGUCUGCAACCCGACUUCAUGAAGUUGGAAUCGCUAGUAAUCGCGAAUCAGCAUGUCGCGGUGAAUACGUUCUCGGGCCUUGUACACACCGCCCGUCAAACCAUGGGAGUUGGUAAUACCCGAAGCCGGUGGCAUAACCGCAAGGAGUGAACCGUCGAAGGUAGGAUCGAUGACUGGGGUUAAGUCGUAACAAGGUAACCA